AGGAUGACGGCCUUCGGGUUGUAAACCUCUUCAGCAGGGACGAAGCGAAAGUGACUGUACCUGCAGAAGAAGCACCGGCUAACUACGUGC
rnacentral:rRNA from 1 species